GAAAUGCGAUAAGUAGUGUGAAUUGCAGAAUUCAGUGAAUCAUCGAAUCUUUGAACGCACAUUGUGCCCCUUGGUAUUCCAUGGGGCAUGCCUGUUCGAGCGUCAUCUACACCCUCAAGCUCUGCUUGGUGUUGGGCGUCUGUCCCGCCCCCGCGCGUGGACUCGCCCCAAAUCCAUUGGCAGCGUUCCUUGCCCCCUCUCGCGCAGCACAUUGCGCUUCUCGAGGGCGGCUCCGGGACGCGAUCCAGCAAGAUGACCACCGUCUUUGACCUCGGAUCAGGUAGGGAUACCCGCUGAACUUAAGC
rnacentral:misc_RNA from 1 species